rnacentral:rRNA from 1 species
UACGUAGGGUGCAAGCGUUGUCCGGAAUUAUUGGGCGUAAAGAGCUCGUAGGCGGUUUGUCGCGUCUGCCGUGAAAGUCCGGGGCUCAACUCCGGAUCUGCGGUGGGUACGGGCAGACUAGAGUGAUGUAGGGGAGACUGGAAUUCCUGGUGUAGCGGUGAAAUGCGCAGAUAUCAGGAGGAACACCGAUGGCGAAGGCAGGUCUCUGGGCAUUAACUGACGCUGAGGAGCGAAAGCAUGGGGAGCGAGCAGG